AGGCAGCAGUUGGGAAUCUUCCGCAAUGGACGAAAGUCUGACGGAGCAACGCCGCGUGAGCGAAGAAGGCCUUCGGGUCGUAAAGCUCUGUUGUUAGGGAAGAACAAGUAACGCAGUAACUGGCGUUACCUUGACGGUACCUAACGAGAAAGCCACGGCUAACUACGUGCCAGCAGCCGCGGUAAUACGUAGGUGGCAAGCGUUGUCCGGAAUCAUUGGGCGUAAAGCGCGCGCAGGCGGUUCCUUAAGUCUGAUGUGAGAGCCCACGGCUCAACCGUGGAGGGUCAUUGGAAACUGGGGGACUUGAGUGCAGAAGAGGAGAGCGGAAUUCCAUGUGUAGCGGUGAAACGCGUAGAUAUAUGGAAGAACACCGGUGGCGAAGGCGGCUCUCUGGUCUGUUACUGACGCUGAGGCUCGAACGCAUGGGUAGCGAACAGGAUUAGAUACCCCAGUAGUCC
rnacentral:rRNA from 1 species